rnacentral:rRNA from 1 species
GUCGAGUGGUAUAUGUCUUCGGAUAUAGAGACCGGCGCACGGGUGCGUAACGCGUAUGCAAUCUACCUUUUACAGAGGGAUAGCCCAGAGAAAUUUGGAUUAAUACCUCAUAGCAUAGUGACUCCGCAUCAAGCAGCUAUUAAAGUCACAACGGUAAAAGAUGAGCAUGCGUCCCAUUAGCUAGUUGGUAAGGUAACGGCUUACCAAGGCUACGAUGGGUAGGGGUCCUGAGAGGGAGAUCCCCCACACUGGUACUGAGACACGGACCAGACUCCUACGGGAGGCAGCAGUGAGGAAUAUUGGACAAUGGGCGCAAGCCUGAUCCAGCCAUGCCGCGUGCAGGAUGACGGUCCUAUGGAUUGUAAACUGCUUUUGUACGAGAAGAAACACUCCUACGUGUAGGAGCUUGACGGUAUCGUAAGAAUAAGGAUCGGCUAACUCCGUGCCAGCAGCCGCGGUAAUACGGAGGAUCCAAGCGUUAUCCGGAAUCAUUGGGUUUAAAGGGUCCGUAGGCGGUUUAGUAAGUCAGUGGUGAAAGCCCAUCGCUCAACGGUGGAACGGCCAUUGAUACUGCUAAACUUGAAUUAUUAGGAAGUAACUAGAAUAUGUAGUGUAGCGGUGAAAUGCUUAGAGAUUACAUGGAAUACCAAUUGCGAAGGCAGGUUACUACUAAUGGAUUGACGCUGAUGGACGAAAGCGUGGGUAGCGAACAGGAUUAGAUACCCUGGUAGUCCACGCCGUAAACGAUGGAUACUAGCUGUUGGAAGCAAUUUCAGUGUCUAAGCGAAAGUGAUAAGUAUCCCACCUGGGGAGUACGUUCGCAGGAAUGAAACUCAAGGUAUUGACGGGGGCCCGCACAGCGGUGGAGCAUGUGGUUUAAUUCGAUGAUACGCGAGGAACCU